CCGCUCCGUAAGCAAUGAUGCAGCGGCCACUCAGGAAGGCUUCCUGCAAGGCCAGGGGGCUGAUGGGGUCCUGUGGUCCACAGCUACAAGGACUAGGAAGUGACAGAGAGAACCCUUCUGAAGCAAGCAGUAUUUUGGUUUAAAAGCCCAUCUCCUGCUCCUCAAAAAUUCAUUUGCCCCCAGAUUAAAUCCUUUUGAAAGUGCAUUCCUAUUCUUGGGAUGCAAAAACCUCCAGGGCCAAACACAUCAGGUAAAAGCCCUCUACAGGUACCUCUUUCAAUACAUGGCCACGGCUCAAGGGGAGACAACGGACUGUGUCAGCACAGGCUCCUAGAGUAAGAACCACAAGCUCACUACAGCAGCCCCUGUGGCACACCAGGCACUGGACAGGUCCGGGCAUUUCCUGUAUUCCAUUCUCCACGAUAAGGCCACUGUUUUCAUUCAUGACCCUGACACUUCUCUUCAUUUCCCAACUCGGUGGUGUCAACAAGCCCAGAGGAGAGCCAGCAGGCCGGGUGAGCUGACCCCUUGGCAGAUGGCAGAUACCUCAUUUCUUAGAGAAACCUACGAAAGUAAUCUCCAAUGAAAUGACAGGAUGUCAGGGACUUACUUCCAGGCACAGGCCUCCAGGGCAGGACUUCUAGAUGGAGAGAAGGACACCUGGAGUUCCACCCAGAGAGGCAGGGGGAGGCCCGUCCACUCCAUGCCAUCCAUCACACGGUCAUGCUCCAGCCACCAGAGGACAUUGCUCCUGCCCAUCCUCUGACCAGGGAGACAGGAAGACAGGAGUCUGG